rnacentral:lncRNA from 1 species
AGCGGCGCAGAGCUCGCCCUUGAGCUCCGCCGCGUCGCCAAGGAGGUCCACCUCAGCACCAAGUCGACGGAGGAGACCAUCACGUCGGCGAUGUCCAAAAGUGUCGCCAGGUACGAAAACCUCCACCUGCGACCACAGGUCGAACACCUGCGCGAGGACGGGACUGUGGUGUUCGACGACGGCUCGUUCGUCGUCGCCGACGCUGUCAUCUACUGCACCGGGUACAACUACUCGUUCCCGUUCCUGGACACGAACGGGAAGGUCACCGUCGACGACAACCGCGUCGGGCCGCUGUACGAGCACGUGUUCCCGCCGGAGCUGGCGCCGUCGCUGUCGUUCGUGGGCAUCCCGGGCAAGGUGGUCCUGCCGGUGUUCAUCGAGGUGCAGGCGAGGUGGGUGGCGCAGGUGCUGUCCGGGCGGAGGACGCUGCCGUCGCCGGAGGAGAUGCAGCGCGCCGUCGAGGAGCACACCCGCGGCAUGGAGGCCGCCGGGUUGCCGAAGCGGUGGACGCAUGACAUGUUCUUGAACCUGGAACGCUGCGACGACUACGGCGAGCGCAUCUGCGGCUUCCCGCGGAUGGAACAGUGGAAGAAGGAGAUCUUUGUGUCAUCCCUCUCCGACAUGGUCGACGACAUCGAGAACUUCCGCGACGGCUACCACGACAGCGACCUCGUCCGCGACGCCCUGCGCCGGCACGGUUGGACUCCCGCCGAGGAGGACGACGACGCCCACAAAUAAAAGCACUUGGAUUGGACUCCAAUAAAUUCAGGUUAAGAUGAAGCAAACCAAAUAAAUACACGACAAUUCAACAAAAAAAAUGCUGGCCUGUCUGUCUCAAGAGGAUUUUUCAUUGUACUAAAAACUGAACCUUUUUAUUUUCGGAAUUGCUAUAAAUAUGCCGCCAUCUUUCUUCUCGGAUUACAUUCGAUUUUCUCACCAUACAAUUAGUUUAGAGAUAUGUGCGUGUCCGAAGACUGAUAAUGCCAUCGUUAAGUGCUGAUACUGUACGUUUAUGUGCAUCCCAGUCUCUAGUUAUCGCUGGCCAUUACUGUUGUAGCAGGGGGUGAACACCAUCCCCUAUACUCGGCCAAAAACUCGCAUGAUGAGGAAAGUGUUUUUGAGCUUUGCUCAAAUCAAAUUCUAAUAUGUAGCCGUUUCUGACCAAGAAUUUGCAUUCGCCCAAUAGGGCCUGUUCCAAGGAAAAUGUGUUCGAACAAGAUUACUUGCUCGAAUUGGCAUCACUAAAGGCAUUGUGUUUGAGCAGGUUCUUUGGCUAAGACAAGUGAAGUGACGAGGAGCUAAAAGAUGGGAGAGUAUUCAAGUCCAGGCACAAGUGUUCGACUCGAGCAAUCGAAGUUGAGGAAAAGUACCAUCCAGCAAAGCAUAUAUUUUAGAAAAGUGUUAUGGGAACCACGUCAACUGCUCUCACCAGUUAGCAUCAAAUGUUACUUGGGGACCACUAAAAUGUUUUAAUAUGCCCCUAAGGUCAUAAACUUUAUAAGGGUAAUAUGAUAACUUCAUGUAAGCCUGCAAUAGCAAACUAGUGAAUCUUGGGUACAUGAUAACUUCCUACGGUCAUAUUGACUUUGUACCAUCUGUAAAGUUCCUUUCUGUUAGAUGAAAUGUGUUGUUGUAUAGGACUUUAAUUACAAACGCGCGUGCGUUGCAAACGGUGAUUACUAUGUACAAUUAAAAUGUGAUUACUAUGUACAAUUAAAAUUAUAUAACUCCACUGGUGGAGAAACCAUCUUUGGUCGGUCCGGCAAAAUCCAUAAUAGUCCCGGAUCCAAAAAGAACCGGAACUAAAGAUUGUUUUUAGUCCCGGUUAUAAAAAUUUUGAUCUUUAGUCCCAGUUCAUCCCCUGUCAAAUGUGUGUCAGGAGGCCGAGGAUCUUUAGUCCCGGUUGGUGUAAAUAACCGGGACUAAAGAUCACCACUUUAGUCACGGCUGGUACUACCAACCGGGACUAAAGAUCAAGAUGAUGUUUAGUCUCGGUUGGGAGUACCAACCGGGACUAAAAUUAAACACGUAGUAUAUAAUUCCUAUCCCUUAUCCUCUCCUCCACAGUUACAACGUAGACAGAUCGAAUCUCACCCCCUCUCCUCAGAUCUAUCCUCUCUAACUCUCUUCUCCAACUCCUCCCCUCAUCCUCUCCUCCCCCUUCCUCCUCCCAUUCCCAGCCGGCCUCCCCUUCCCAUCCGGCGGGCCGGCCGGCGGCGGGGCCGCGCGCGGCGGGGCGGCGCCCGACGGGGUCGUGCCCGGCGGAGGGCGGCGGGGUGAAGGCCGGCGGAGCCGCGCCCGGCGGCGGGCGGCGGGGCUUCGGGUGGCGGCGGGCGGCGGGGCUUCGGGCGGCGGCGGGCGGCGGGGCUGCGGCCGGCGGCGGGCGGCUGGGCCGCGCCCAUCGUUCAUGGCGACCGGCGGCGGCAUUCUUUUUUUUUAAUUUGUGAUGAUUCACUGAGAUGUAUUUGACUGAGAAGUUACAAAUUUGUGAUUCAUUGUUUGGAUCUGUGAUGUAUUUGAGUAAUUUCUUAGGAUAUUGUGAUGUAUUUGAUUUGUGAGUAUAAAUAACUUUAUGAUUUGUGAUGUGGAUUUGGUGAUGUGAAUUUGGGAUGUUAGUUAGAUUUGGGGAUUGAUUUGGGGAUUUGCCUACUUGAUUCGGGAGAAAAUGAAAAGGAAAAAAGAAAAAGAAAAAGGGACCAUUUGCACUGCCGCUAUUGUCUCUUUAGUCCCGGUUGGUAACAUCAACCGGGACUAAAGAUCCCCUCUCUUUAGUCCCGGUUGGUGGUACCAACGGGGACUAAAAUACAUCUUUAGUCCCGGUUAUUUCAACCGGUCCAUCUUUAGUCCCGGAUUCUUACUCCCGGUUGGAGAACCGGGAUUAAAGGGGUUCCCAACCGAGAGUAAAGAUGGUUUCUCCACCAAUGCUCAUUGCAACGCAUGGACAUAUCGACCCUAAAAAUAGGAAAUAAAAAAAUUCUAUUUUUCUUCCGUCCUCCGACUCCAGUGCAAGCCAUGAGCUUUCCGAUGGGAAGUGCGCAGCCAGUUUCAUCAUCCGCCACGCCUAGCUCUAACUCGAUCUGUUUUUUCUAAGUACAUAGGGAAUAUAAAUAGAGGCUAUAUACCCUAGAUUUUUUUCUAAAUCCUGCACUCCUCCCGCACCUCUCAGCUCUCUCCCGCACUUCUCCCCUCCCCUCACCUAGCUCUCCUCCUCUCCCCGGUGCUGACAGCGGCGGAGGGCGUGCGGCGGCUACCGGUGGAGGAGGCGGCGGCGGCUACCGGGGGCCACCGGCGCUCCCCUUCCUCGCUCCUUCCCAGAUCUGGCCUGAGGGGGGCGGGGGUAGGACGGUGGCCACACGUGUGGCGGUGGCGGCGGCGGCGGCGGGAGGUUGCCAGCGGAGGGCCGCGACUACCGACGGGAGGCGGAGGUUGGCGGCGGGUGGUGGCGGAGGAGGGCGGCGGCCGCUCCCGGACCCUCCCUCCCUCCCAGAUCUGGCCCGAGGGGGGCGUGGGGAGGGCAGUGGCCGGCGGCGCUCCCCUCCCUCGCUCCCUCCCAGAUCUGGCCUAAGGGGGGUGGGGGGAGGGCGGUGGCCACGUGUGCGGCAGCGGCAGCGGCGGGAGGUUGGCGGUGGCAGGAGGAAGGGGGCCGUGCGCGGCGGCGUCAGAGGAGGUGGAACCAAUGGCCUGGUCGGCAUCUCGGCAUGCGCAAGGAGGAGGAAGCGGCGGUUCUGGGCACCAAUCCUCUCCCUUCCUUCGCCCCAGACGUCGGUGCCGGCGGCGCAAACAGCACCGGCCGCUCCCUUCCCAGAUCUGGACGGAAGAGGGGAGCCGGCUAGCAGCUACGGCAAAGGCGGCGCUCCCCUCGCCCUCGGACAGCAGCGCCGGACGGAGGUGGAGAGCCGUCGGCCGGAGGGGGAUGCCGACGCCGGCGGGUAGCACCGGAUUUUUCUUCUGUUUCCUCGCUUUAUUUUCGCAGUCAGGCCGCGGACCCGUUUGGAUUUUCGCAGGCGUUAGGAUAGCGGCGGAUGUCUCCCUCACCUACAAAAACUGUUUUUGGCCGCUGUAAAAACUAUUUUUCUAAGUAGUGUACCCAUCUCACUGGAAGCACGAGAGUCGAGUCCGACUCCAACAAAAACUAGAUCGGAUCUCCUUGCGUCGGGCACGCGAGCAGGAGCACGGAUGCCACGCUAGCUCCGACGCCGGCCAGGAGUGGUGCUGGGGAGGAUUUUUUUUUAUUUUUUUUAAAUUUUUAAUUUUUAAAAAUAAACCAUUUAAAAACUUAUUUUUCAAGAUCUAAACCUUUUGGCCACGCCAGCCGGACUGACAUAGCAAAACAACAUUAUCACGUCGGUCUGGUUGACGUGACAAUGCUAUUUAGCCUCAUGGGUUUGGCUGGCGUGGCACCGUUAUUUGAUCUCAUCAUUCUCGUUGCGUGGCAGGAUAAAAUUAUCACGCCCGUUGUGUGACCAAAAGGUUCAGAUUCUAAAAAUAAGUUUUAGAAUGAUUUAUUUUUAAGAUGUAAAAUAAAAAAAGUUCAAAAAUCGCUGGGGAGGCAGGCUAAUGAGGUGAUGAGGGCGGCCAGGUUGAUGAACCCGAUGAGCCGGACGUACUGGGUGCUAUGGCAGUAACACGAUGGCUCAUCCUCCGGGCAGAGAGAGAGAGAGAGAGAGAGAGAUCAGAGAGAGUCCAAGGGGAUUGAUCGGUCAUCCUCUCCUCCGUUCUGCAGCUAGCGUGAGUAGACGACCAGACAAAUUAAGUUACGAUUGUGAAUUAAUUUGUGAUUAACGAGAAGCAUCGAUCGUUCCCAAUUGAUCCAACGCGUUCAAGAUAUAUUAAUUGCCGCCGUGACCUAGGCCCUUUUUGAAAGAUUAGCACAGGGCUAAUAUUGAGAGCUAAUGUUUAGUCAUAAAUUGGUAGGAUAAACAUUAUUCUAGGGUGGUAUGUUUGGAUCCAUGGGCUAAUUCAAGACUAAAAGGUAGAGAGAGAGAGCUGCUUUUUGAUAGUCCCCACACAAAACUAGCCCCAUUAGCACCCUUUGGAGGAGCUAAUGUUUUGAGGAGGGCUAAUUCACUUUAGCCUCAAAUUAGCCCACCUGUUUGAAUCCUUAAGAGCUAAUUCAGAGCUAAAAGGUGAGGACUAGUAAUUAGCCCAUAGAACCAAACAAGAUCCUAGCAACCUAUCCACCUCGCCGCCGGCUGCCGUGAAUACGAUCGAGGUGAGAGCAGCAGCCAAUUGAUCAGCACACCACGUUGUCUACUUGCCUUUGGCUAAUUUGCCUGAUUGGAUUCGUCAGGUUAGCGUAGAGCCUUGGAGGCUACGAUGAAUAUCACUGAAUCGAUCAUGCAACCACCAGCGCCUAGCGCGUAUUGCCGAAAGAUUUAUAUUAGUUUCAAUUAUUAUUAAUAUGAUACUGUUGUACUUUUAUAACCAAUUCAUAAUUUAUAUGAAGUUAACCAUUAACGUGUUAAUCUUUUCAUUUAUCAGUUCAUCCCAGAUACCAUGUCAUCAAGUGAUAUGUACAAGGGUAUACGAUGAAACAACAAAUAAUAUAUAUUAAUUAUUACUUUGAUAUUAAUGUCUCUGUCCUAAAAUAUAGUUAUUUCUACCACAGUGCCUUGUUCUAAAAUAAAGCUAUUUUUUCACCUACCUCUUCUCAACCAAUCACAACCAUUCUUCUUGACAUGCUUUCUCUUUUCACUCAAUCACACACUUCCUCUAAUUUUCUCACAUAUUUUCUUAAUAUCCGUGUCAACUUUAAAAAUAGCUAUAUUUUAGAACGGAGGGAGUAUUAAGUGUUUCCACUUUUAGUUUUGUCCUGGCCACUCAAAUCUCUGGAUUGAGACUGAACGGGGCUACACACGUGAGAAAGGAGGACGAGUAGAGAGGUCGCUGCUACUAGACAGGGAGGCGAGCUCGUCGUGGUACGGUGACAGGGUCAUCGCGGCCCACGAAGAUGGUGAUGGCACCAGCAAGUUAGCUUGGGCUGAUGAAUUUUUAUUUUAUUUUUUUUGAACUUUUUUAAAUUUUUAUUUUAAAAAUAAACUCUUCUAAAACUUAUUUUUAAAAUUUAAACCUUGUAGCCAAGUCAGCCCAUCUGGCGAGGAAAAAUUACUAUCACGCUACUUGCUGCGGGUGUGAUAAUUUAAUCCUACCACGGCAACCAGGAUGGUGUGGUAGUAUUAUUUUGUCACAUCAGUUCAAGUUUCAUAUCUUAAGUAUUGAAAAGGUUUAUUUCAAAAAUAAAAAAAAUAUGGGUGACUAGCAGACGGUCGAGUGUGGCCAUGAAAAAGGAGGUGAGGACGACUUGACGGGUUCCUUUUUCCUUAGAUGCAUUUUAUAAGAACCUUUCCGUGCAACAUCGUUCGACCAUGUCAGCCAUCAUGACUACUACAUCGGCGCGAGGCAUACAUCAAACACUAAUACCAAAACGAUUUUUGUUUGCAGUUGAAAGGGAUUUUCGCGUGCGGAUCUCACGCCCGUCUACAACAGGGUGCCUGUGAAAAUAUGAAACUUUUCGUGCGGGUGACGCACCAGCACACGAAAAAUCAGAUUUUUCGUAUGCGGGUGGCUUAUGUCGCCCACACGCAACAAAAAAAAAGACCCCCAAAAAAAUAAAAUAAAAAACAUAACCCUAGCCGCCGCCCUCCUCGUGGUUGCCGCUGUCGUCGUUGUCGUCGUUGUCACCGUUGGUGGCGGUGCCAUCGCCACCUUCCACCGCUGCCCACCGCCGGAUCUGGGCGGGAGAGGGGCGCCGCCUCUAGACCCGGCCGGGCGGGCGAGGGGCGCCGCUGCCGGUCACGGCCGCACGCAAGGACGCGCUAGCUGCCGCCGCCCGCCGCCGCUCCCGGCCGUCGCCAGCCGCCUCGCGCCUGUUGCCCCGCGCCUGUGGAGAAAGAGACGAGAGAGAGAGAUAAGAAAUAGGAUAAGGACAAGUAGGUGGAGAGGAUAAGAUAGAAAUUUUUGAAGUAGUUGAGAGGAAAAAAUACCUGAGGAGGGAGGGGAUUUUCGCGUGCGGUACUCUUAAGAUGCUCGGGUCUUCACGUAAAAAUUGGCUUAUUUUUUGCGUGCGGACCUCUUAAGGAAUCUUAAGGAUCCGCACCUAAAAAUAGGAGGACGAUUUUUCCAAACUCGGUCAGUUAUGGACCAUCCGGAAUCUGACGAGGAGUUCGUCCAGGAAAAUCGUUUUUAUAUUUGUGAAAUGCAGACUUGUCUUGUCGGAGCAACAUCUGCUUAUUGGACUGGAGAAUUUAAGGAAGUAACUUUCGUCAUUGUCACUAUCACCUUCUCAAACGCCGUAACUUGGUUGAGUUUAUGUUUUGGAUCAAAGUUGUCAAACUGUAGCACAUCGGAGAGAAGAAAAUUCAGCGAAUGAGUUCUGUGGCUAGGCUUCUGCAAUUCAAAUAGAUAAGGAUAACAUUGAUGUAAACUCUAGAGUAGAGGUACAACAUCCGACAUGAAGGGGUAGCAUCACAUACCUUGCGCAGAGCAAUUUCUAACCUUUUUUUUUAUUUCCCGUUGCAACGGACAACUGUGUCUCGCUUACUUGGCCUCUGUUUCUAAAUAAUAUUUGACGCCGUUGACUUUUUUAAAUAUAUAAUUAUUAAUUUUUUUUCUAUCAUUUGAUUCAUUGUUAAAUAUACUUAUAUGUAUAUAUAUAGUUUUACAUAUAUUUUACAAAAGUUUUUAAAUAAGGUGAACAGUUAAACAUGUGUUAAAAGGUCAACGGUGUCAAAUACUCCGACCACGACAUAUAAAAAGUUAAACGGUGUCAAACACAUGUUAAAAAGUUAAACAUGUGUUAAACAUGUGUCAAAUACGUAUUUAGAAACGGAGGGAGUAGUACGUAGGAUCUUAUAUAACUGUCUCUCUUGCUCUCGUCGAGAAGGGAAGGAUGGUGUCCGACCACGACGACGGCAAGCUGCCGGCGCAGUGGAAGAAGGUGUGCGUCGUCGGCGGCGGGAUGGCGGGGCUGGCGGCGGCGCGCGAGCUGCGGCGAGAGGGCCUCGACGUGACGGUGCUCGAGCAGCGCGGCGGCGUCGGCGGGCAGUGGCUGUACGACGCGGCGACCGACGCCGGCGACCCGCUCGGCAUGGCCGGCGUGCACAGCAGCGUGUUCGCCUCGCUCCGUCUCAAUAGCCCGAGGGAGUCCAUAGGCUUCUCCGACUUCCCGUUCCGCCCCACCAACGACGCCGGCGGCGACGCGCGGCGGUACCCCGUCCACGGCGAGCUCCUCAGGUACAUCAGGGACUUCUGCGACGCGUUCGGCCUCAUGGACGCCGUCAGGCUCAACACCACGGUCACGCGCGUCGCCAUGGCGCCGCCGCGGCGCGACGGCUCGCUGCGGUGGGCGGUGAGGAGCAGGCGCCACGGCGAGGCGGAGACGGAGGAGGUGUUCGACGCCGUCGUGGUGGCCAUCGGGCACUACUCGCAGCCAAGGCUCCCGACCGUCGACGGGAUGGAUAGGUGGAGGAGGAAACAGCUCCAUUCCCACUCGUACCGCGUCCCGGACUCCUUCGCCGGCGAGGUCGUCGUCAUCGUUGGGUGCAGCGUGAGCGGCGCAGAGCUCGCGCUUGAGCUCCGCCGCGUCGCCAAGGAGGUCCACCUCAGCACCAAGUCGACGGAGGAGACCAUCACGUCGGCGAUGUCCAAAAGUGUCGCCAGGUACGAAAACCUCCACCUGAGACCACAGGUCGAACACCUGCGCGAGGACGGGACUGUGGUGUUCGACGACGGCUCGUUCGUCGUCGCCGACGCCAUCAUCUACUGCACCGGGUACAACUACUCGUUCCCGUUCCUGGACACGAACGGGAAGGUCACCGUCGACGACAACCGCGUCGGGCCGCUG